rnacentral:rRNA from 1 species
CAAUAGCGUAUAUUAAAGUUGUUGCAGUUAAAAAGCUCGUAGUUGGAUUUGUGGCUGUCACGGGCGGCCUAUCACUUAGUGUUAGUGCUUGCCUGUGUCGCCAUCCUUGGGUGGAGCCCGUGUGGCAUUAGGUUGUCGUGCGGGGGAUGCCCAUCGUUUACUGUGAGAAAAUUAGAGUGUUCAAAGCAGGCUUAUGCCGUUGAAUAUGUUAGCAUGGAAUAAUAAGAUAGGACCUCGGUACUAUUUUGUUGGUUUGCGCACCGAGGUAAUGAUUAAUAGGGACAGUUGGGGGUAUUCGUAUUUCAUAGUCAGAGGUGAAAUUCUUGGAUUUAUGAAAGGCGAACAACUGCGAAAGCAUUUGCCAAGGAUGUUUUCAUUAA